GGUCCCGUCGUCUAGUGGUCUAGGACACAGCCCUUUCAAGGCUGCGGCACGGGUUCGAACCCCGUCGGGACCGCCA
rnacentral:tRNA from 1 species